AGCGUGAAGGUUGCCAGCGUAAGAGAAGGCUGCUGUUGUAACAUGUAUAUUCUCUCGUCACCAACUAUAAAUUCUGCAACUUUUUUUGACUCUUUCACCUUACAAACGCAACACCUUCGCCUUCUCCCUCUCUCUAUCUGAAUCUCUCUCAUGUCCACUCUCAUUCAGUAAUCAGUAGUCACUAGUAGCCUCUGUCCUUCUCUUCCAAUGGACUCACCAUCUACGACAAUGAAACUUCUGCUAUUGAUUUCUCUGUUCCAGGUUCUAUAUAUUGCAUCUAUAAUCCAUGCAGAGGGGUCUGAUAAACGAUUACUUUUGACAUCCAACGCCAAAUCUGGGGAAAGGCAUUCUGAGGAAUAUUGUGCCAUGUACGACAUCUGUGGAGAACGUGAUGACGGAAAAGUGUUGAAUUGUCCUUCCGGUUCUCCAUCUAUAAAGCCAGAUGACUUGCUUUCACAAAAGAUCCAAAGUUUGUGCCCAACAAUCACCGGCAAUGUCUGUUGCACAGAACCGCAGUUUGAGACAUUACGAUCACAAGUUCAGCAAGUGAUUCCUUUUCUUGUUGGCUGUCCAGCAUGCUUAAGAAAUUUUUUGAAUCUGUUCUGUGAGCUUUCCUGCUCCCCUCAUCAGAGUUUAUUUAUCAAUGUGACUUCUAUUUCCAAGGUUAAAAACAAUUUGACCGUGGAUGGAAUUGAUUUUUAUAUAUCUGAUGCUUUUGGUGAAGGGUUAUAUGACUCAUGCAAGGAUGUAAAGUUCGGUACUAUGAAUACUCGAGCUCUAGACUUUGUUGGUGCUGGUGCUCAAAAUUUUAAAGAGUGGUAUGCAUUUAUUGGUAGACGAGCAGCCCCAAAUCUACCAGGCUCACCAUAUGCCAUUACAUUCAAGUCAACUGCGCCUGAGUCAGCAGGAAUGCAACCUAUGAAUGUAUCUGCGUAUUCAUGUGGUGAUACUUCACUGGGCUGUUCUUGUGGUGAUUGCCCAUCUGCUCUUGUUUGUGCCAACACAGCUCCUCCUCGAGAACAUGAGAAAUCUUCAUGUUCUGUGAGAAUUGGAUCUCUGAAGGUGAUGAAUUGUGCAGUAGAUAUUCUUAGCUUUGAUCAAAGUGAUUUAUUUGUUCAGGCCAAAUGCAUCGACUUUGCUCUAACAAUUCUUUAUAUCAUGUUGGUUUCCAUAUUUUUGGGGUGGGGUUUGUUUCAUCGAAAAAUAAAAAGGAACCAAACUUCUGGAAUGGAAUCAAUUCCAAAUAGCAAGGAUGGUGGUGAAAUUCAUUCUGUAAUUGGGCAGAAGGAUGAGAAUAUCCCCAUGCAGAUGCAUGAAGAUUCUCCUCAAACUGGAAACAGGGUUCAGCUUUCAAUUGUCCAAGGAUACAUGUCAAAGUUUUACAGGAGAUAUGGAACAUGGGUUGCUCAACAUCCUAUCCUUGUGCUGAGCGUGUCCGUGGCUGUAGUUCUUCUACUUUGUCUAGGUCUAAUCCGCUUUAAGGUUGAGACACGACCUGAGAAGCUAUGGGUAGGGCCUGAGAGUAAAGCUGCAGAGGAGAAAAAAUUUUUUGACAGCCACCUAGCUCCUUUUUACAGAAUUGAGCAGCUAAUUCUUGCAACUACACCUAAUGCUGAGGAAGGGAAAUUACCAAGUAUUUUGACAGAGAAUAAUAUUAAGUUGCUCUUUACAAUACAAAAGAAGGUUGAUGGAAUCCGUGCAAAUUAUUCUGGAUCAAUGGUAUCUCUAACUGAUAUUUGUAUGAAGCCACUGGACCAGGAUUGUGCUACUCAAAGUAUUCUGCAGUAUUUCCAAAUGGAUCCUCAAAAUUAUGACAAUUAUGGGGGAGUUGAGCACGUACAUUACUGUUUGCAGCAUUAUACCUCUGCAGACAAAUGUAUGAGUACCUUCAAAGCCCCUCUUGAUCCAAGCACCGCUUUGGGAGGUUUCUCAGGGAGCAAUUAUUUAGAGGCAUCUGCAUUUAUCAUAACUUAUCCAGUAAACAAUGCAAUUGAUAAAGAAAGGAAUAAAACUGAUAAAGCUGUUGCUUGGGAGAAGGCCUUUAUUCAGUUAGUGAAGGACGAAUUGUUGCCAAUGGUCCAUCUAAACAAUCUUACACUUUCUUUCUCGUCGGAAAGCUCUAUUGAGGAAGAACUAAAAAGAGAAAGCACUGCAGAUGCAAUCACUAUAUUGAUAAGUUAUCUUGUGAUGUUUGCCUACAUAUCCCUUACCUUGGGUGAUAUACCACAUUUGUCUUCUUUCUACAUUUCAUCUAAGGUGUUGCUCGGUCUCUGUGGGGUUCUACUUGUCAUGCUCUCUGUACUUGGAUCAGUUGGAUUGUUUAGUGCCAUUGGAGUAAAAUCUACACUAAUCAUCAUGGAAGUCAUUCCUUUUCUUGUGUUAGCAGUAGGGGUGGACAACAUGUGUAUAUUGGUGCAUGCUGUUAAGCGGCAACCACUAGAGUUGCCCCUAGAAGAACGGAUAAGCAAGGCACUUGUGGAAGUUGGGCCAUCUAUAACACUUGCUAGUCUAUCUGAGGUGCUAGCAUUUGCAGUUGGGAGUUUUAUUCCCAUGCCAGCAUGUCGUGUGUUUUCUAUGUUUGCUGCGCUAGCUGUUCUUUUGGACUUCCUUCUGCAAGUUACUGCUUUUGUUGCUUUGAUAGUUUUUGAUUUCUUGCGUGCGGAGGAUAAAAGGGUUGAUUGUGUUCCAUGUCUAAAAAUUUCUUCAUCAUAUGCAGACUCUGAUAAAGGCAUUGGCGGGGGAAGGCCUGGAUUGCUGGCUCGAUAUAUGAAGGGGGUCCAUGCGCCUGUGCUUAGUCUUUGGGGAGUUAAGAUUGCUGUCAUUUCCGUCUUUAUUGGCUUUGCUUUGGCUAGUAUCGCAUUGUCCUCUAGGGUUGAACCUGGUUUGGAACAGAAAAUUGUUCUUCCUCGUGACUCAUAUCUCCAGGGCUAUUUUAAUAAUGUUUCAGAGUAUCUUAGAAUUGGUCCCCCUCUAUACUUUGUUGUGAAGAACUAUAAUUAUAGCUCAGAAUCUAGACAUACAAACCAGUUGUGCUCCAUCAGCCAGUGUGAUUCAAAUUCUCUUUUGAAUGAGAUUGCCAGAGCAUCCUUGACUCCUGAGUUCAGCUAUAUUGCCAAGCCAGCUGCUUCAUGGCUUGAUGAUUUUCUUGUGUGGAUAUCUCCAGAGGCUUUUGGUUGCUGUCGGAAGUUCACAAAUGGGAGUUAUUGUCCUCCUGAUGAUCAGCCUCCUUGCUGUUCUUCUGAUACAGGUUCUUGUGAUCUCAGUGGAGUUUGCAAAGAUUGUACCACGUGUUUCCGUCACUCAGAUUUGAAUAAUGAUCGUCCAUCUACAGCACAAAUUAGGGAUAAACUCCCAUGGUUCCUUAAUGCUCUGCCUUCUGCUGAUUGUGCUAAAGGGGGCCAUGGCGCUUACACCAGCAGUGUGGAACUGGAAGGCUAUGAGAAUGGUGUUAUUCAAGCAUCAUCCUUCCGCACAUAUCAUACGCCUCUCAACAAGCAGGUUGAUUAUGUCAAUUCAAUGAGGGCUGCCCGAGAGUUCAGUUCAAGGAUGUCUGAUUCAUUAAAGAUGGAGGUGUUUCCGUAUUCAGUGUUUUAUAUGUUUUUUGAACAAUACCUUGAUAUAUGGAAGACAGCAUUGAUCAACCUGGCUAUUGCAAUUGGUGCGGUAUUUGUUGUUUGUUUAGCUAUCACGUGCAGUGUAUGGAGCUCAGCAAUCAUUUUGCUGGUUUUGGUGAUGAUUGUCGUGGACCUUAUGGGUGUGAUGGCAAUUCUGGAUAUUCAACUUAAUGCAAUCUCUGUUGUUAACCUUGUCAUGUCAGUGGGCAUUGCUGUUGAGUUCUGUGUACAUAUAACAUUUUCUUUCUCAGUAAGUAGCGGAGACAGAGACCAAAGAAUGAAGGAGGCUCUGGGUACAAUGGGGGCUUCAGUCUUUAGGUUUUCUUUUUCUCUUCUGACUGGAUACAUAAUGUGGAAUCACACUAACGAAGCUAGUCGGCGUGCUCGUUCUGUGCUUCUCUAGGACAGAAGUUUUUGUGGUCUAUUACUUCCAAAUGUACCUGGCAUUGGUCCUCCUUGGUUUCUUGCAUGGGCUUGUGUUCUUACCUGUAGUUUUGAGCAUGUUUGGUCCACCUUCAAGAUGUGCACUUGUUGAGAAGCCAGAAGAUCGGCCAUCAGUUUCAUUGCAGCCAUGAGAAAGUGGAACUGCUGUGUCGUAGCUUUUUUCAUAGGUCUUCGAAAAAAAAAUCCUCGAGGUGCUAAAUUUACUUGUACAAUUAGUGCAGAAAAAUAUUUAAAUAGCUUCUGACAAAUGUACCAUGUUUUACAAAGGGGAGAAAAAAUUAUCAAGUUAUACUAUUUGCCUAGUUUGUGCUGUUAUUCAUUUAAUAAAUUUGUAAUUCGAAAAAACAUGUAAUAUUUGUGAA